rnacentral:rRNA from 1 species
UACAGAGGUGGCAAGCGUUGUUCGGAAUUACUGGGCGUAAAGGGCGCGUAGGCGGUCUUGUAAGUCUUGUGUGAAAUCCCUCGGCUUAACUGAGGAACUGCACGGGAUACUGCGAGACUUGAGUUCGGGAGAGGGAAGCGGAAUUCCGGGUGUAGCGGUGAAAUGCGUAGAUAUCCGGAGGAACACCGGUGGCGAAGGCGGCUUCCUGGACCGAUUACUGACGCUGAGGCGCGAAAGCUAGGGGAGCAAAGCGGG